rnacentral:RNase_P_RNA from 1 species
UGAGUAAGAGAGGCAGUCGCGUGGUUUGAUUUUUGAUAAUUGAACCAUGAGGAAAGUCCGAGCUUCGCAGGGCAGGGUGCCGGAUAACGUCCGGUGGAGGCGACUCCAAGGAAAGUGCAACAGAAAUAAACCGCCUGUUUUAUUACAGGUAAGGGAGGAAAGGUGAGGUAAGGGCUCACCGCUUUGCCGGCGACGGCGAAGGCUCUGUAAACCCCAUCCGAAGCAAGAUCAAAUUGGGGCGUUUGGAAUGGCCCGUUCCGCUCCAGGU